rnacentral:lncRNA from 1 species
ACUUUCUCAGCUUGGUCACUAGAGCCAAAAAGUCUCAGAUUAACAGACGUGUGUAGGAUUUCAGUCCCAUUUGAAUACACCCGAUGGAUGUACGACCUUGAGAAAUUUACUUAACACUUCCAGGUCAGCCCGGCGUGGUGGCUUAUGCCUGUAUUUCCAGCACUUGGGGAGGCCAAGCCGGGUGGAUCACGAGGUCAGGAGUCCGAGACCAGCCUGGCCAACAUGGUGAAAACCUGUCUCUACUAAAGAUACAAAAAUUAUCUGGGUGUGGUGGUGGGCGCCUGCAAUUCCAGCUACUCGGGAGGCUGAGGCAGGAGAAUCAUUUGAACCUGGGAGGCAGAGGUUGCAGUGAGCCAAGAUCACACCAUUGCACUCCAGCGGGGGCAACAGGGCUAGACUGCCUCUCAAAACAAACAAACAAACAAACAAACAAACAAAAACAUUUCGGGGUCAAAUGUUUGUCACCUAAAAACAAAGCCAUUGAGCAUAAGAAGAACAUAAUGGACUUUGGGGACUCAGGAGGAAAGUGUGGGAAGGGGAUGAGGGAUAAAAGACGACAAAUAUGGUGCUGUGUAUACUGCUCUGGUGAUGGGUGCACCAAAAUCUCACAAAUCACCACAAAAGAACUUACUCAUGUAACCAAAUACCACCUGUUUCCCAAUAACCUAUGGAAAUAAAAAAAAUUUUAAAAAAACC